GCAGUCGUGGCCGAGUGGAUUAAGAGUGAUGGACUUGAAACUCCAUUGGGAUCUUCCCGCGCAGGUUCUGAAUCCUGCCAACUGCG